rnacentral:tRNA from 1 species
GGGCUGGGGCUCAGUGGUAGAGUGCCUGCCUAGCAUGUGGAAGCCCUAGGUUUGAUCCUUAGCACCACA